rnacentral:lncRNA from 1 species
UUUUGGACAUGGAAAUUCAAAGAUGUUUGAAUUUUUUGGGGGGGGGAGGACUACAGCAUUACCUCAGUGACAAGUGACUAUUCUCCUGCUUCCUAAGCAGGUCUAUCAAACUUUAAGGCUAGUAACCCUUGGAUACACUUUAUAUAAAUUAACAAUUUCUAUUGUCAAAAACUCAAACUAAGCCAGACAAAUAGGCUUGGAAACUACCAGCCAACUUCGUUCUGUGAGUAACCAUUAAGUUUUAAUCAGAUGUGGUCCAAUUUCUGGAACAGCGAGCAUGAAGAAGGGAUCAUCAAGGAAAAUGGGCAAAAGUGGAGGCAGGAGGAAAGGGAGGAGGAUGAGGACCAGGAGGAGGAGGAGGAGGAGGAGGACAAGGAGCAGACGGGAGGAGGAAGGAGGAGAACAAAAGAACCGCCCCCCAAGCCAGUCAUGUAAGGCAGACUCUUGACUGAAUACUUCUGCCCCUCUCUGCAGCUGUUGUCUCCUGCAGUUGGCAUGAAGCGCUGCCAGUCUGGGACCGGCUUCCAGUGAGGACAGCAUUGUUUUAUUGGCUACUUAGGCAGUGCACACACCAUUAAUGGAGUUUUUAUCUCUCCAUUUUCCUGUCAGUACAGAACCAGCCAGUCUGACUCUGUUAUUAUCAUUAAGAAAGCUUUUUUUCUCCCCCCCUCCCCACACACAUCUUUAAUCCAAACAACAUCUGGGAACUUCAGCCUCUAUCAUAUAAAAGGGAAACAGAUUUAGAGGUGGGGGUGGGGGGGUGAGACAGUUGCAUCCACACUGAACAACAACCAAAUUCCAACAGCCAAACUUCUCUGGAGCCACUCAGUAUCUCCAAAGUGCUCUUCACUUCAAAAAGGCAAAGGUAUUUCCCACUGCAUUGUUUUAAACGCCCUCUGGACCUUUGCUACAUGAAAAUAAUAUCAUUUUGACAUGUAGCUUUUGUAAAAAAAAAAAAAAGGGGGGGGGUGAGGGGGAGUUUAUUGCUGCUUCCUUGGGGAGCAAGUUCCAUUGUGAAACCAAAGUCAGGAAUAAUAUUUAGGGAAUGCCUGGGUGGCUCAGCGGUUGAACGGCUGCCUUCAGUCCAGGGCGUGAUCCUGGAGGCCCAGGAUCGAGUCCCACGUCGGGCUCCUGACGCAUGGAACCUGCUUCUCCUUCUGCCUGUGUCUCUGCCUCUCUUUCUCUCUGUGUCUCUCAUGAGUAAAUAAAUAAAAUCUUCAAAAAAAAAAAAAAAGGAAUAAUAUUUAAAAGAGGAUUUUUAGAACACUGUAUUUCUUUUUCAAAAAUGAAAAAAAAAAAAGACCCUUCAUGACACAUACCAAGCAAGUACAUCUCUAGUGUACAAACUAAUAGGAAAAAACUGGCGCCAUUAAACCCAGAAAAUAUGUCCCCUUGUAACAGACAGCUGUCUCCUCUGUAGUUUAAAUGUGCUUUUUGCUUAGAUCACUCCGUGAGUCAUGGAAUCAAUACAGGAAAAUGCACAGAGCCAGCCACACUGCAGAUUCACGCGGCAGAGCAGGUUCAAGCCACAGGGCUCCGCUGUCCCGGUCCUGCCUCUGGCAUCUGCACCGGUGGGGGUGCGGGGUCGGGGGCCAGGGGUUCACCCUACUCCAUGCCUCAACAUGCCUCAGGGGGUCCCCAAUGCUGAUCUUUUCAUCCAAUUCCUUCUACAUAAGUAGAAACUAAAAGUUACAGACCUCAAAAACGCAGUUGUCAGGCAAUCCCUCUUGCUCUGCGCCCCUGUCCUUUCCAAGUUUUCUAGAAUGCACCAAUAACAACUAUACUUAGAAGGGAUUUACUUCCCCAGAAAUGCCCAUCACCAAACAGAAGGCACAAUCAGAACGUUUUGGAAAAGCCAAGAUGUGAGAGUCAGCAAAGAUUAAUAGUUUAUUUUUAAUUUAUCUUUUUGUUUCAUUCAGCAAAAAAGAGGGGGAAAUCACUGGCUGUCUGCGCCACAGGCUCCUGCUCACUGGAAGCUUUGCCUUAGAGCCCCUUGCAGUCUGUUGUUAAUGACGGUCUCAGUAACCUGAUCCUCCCACAGUGGGAGACUUGAGUAAGCACUGGCCUCUCUCUGCUCUCGCCUUUCCAUUGUCCCACCCCGCAGGGCCAGCUGUUUCUGACAGCCAAAUUGCUGCGUGCUAAGCAAUGAAUGCUGUCAGAGAAGGAAUUUUCAUUUCUAUAAUGCAUAGGCCUCCGUGGACAAAUUAUACAGCUUAUGGUGCUGGCUGCAGGAUGCUGCUCCAGGCUUGAAGUCCUGCCAAAAUGCAGCCUUUCCUCCCAUCUCCCCAGCCCCUAGCUGACGAGACAGUCACUCAAAAUGAAUCUGAAUGGCCAGAGAGAAACCGAACACGUGCUUUCAGGGACAAACAAAACAUAUGUCAAGAAGAGCUGUCCAGCUACGAUCUUCGAUUUAAUGGCAUACAGUGAAAGCUAAUUGAGCUAAUGUCACACUGUAGAGCCACCUAGCAUGGCAUCCAUUAAGACCUCCUGUAAUUUGACACCCUGCAGUGAGCAUCCCUGGGGCAUCAGCAAAAUCACUGGCCCUCUGCUUCUAAGGGAUGUCAGACUUACCUAGAAACCAUACCAAGAACUUAUGGCUUCCUAAAAACCAACGUCGUAACCAUCAAGCAACAACCCAGGAGGUUCCGUAACAGUACUCUCUCAUGGUAACAAAGGCUCCUCGUAGUGAUGCACGGAAUUCUUUUGGAGGAACUGUCUGCCUCCCCAACACCACCCCCACUUCCAGCAACAACCCCUUGACCUGGGUUGGAGCUACGCCCCUUUCUUUCCUGAGUGCUGGGGGUAGAGGGACUAGACCAAUCGACACACUGCAUUCCAUUGGGGGAUGUGACCUUGGCUGGUCCAGUCAGAGUGACUCCUGGAAUUCUGCCGGAACUGCUAGAAGAGAAAGUCUGAUUUUCUCAUUAUACUCGAACCUGAGAGAAUAUGCCACAGCCAUUUUACUACCAUGGAUGGAGAAUCUGACUAAGAUUGGAGGCGGCAAAGAAAGAAUUAGAGGGAAAAUAACAGGGUCCCAGGGACACCUGCUUGAAUCCUGGGUCAACCCAGAUCUAAAACCUGCCCUACUCUAGGCUCCUGAGGAUGGCAACCCUCGUAUUCUCAUCUUACUAAGGCCAGUCUGGGCUUUCUGUCACUUGCAAAUGCAAAUUAACAGAUGAACCAUCAUUCCAUCCUAAGAACACCCACCGGUUAGCACAAACACAUAUGUUAUACCUUACCAUGUAAGCAAGAAAAAGUUUUUGUAUUUUUGGUUGUUUCCUGUGAGAACUUACUCUUUCACUUUUCCCUUCUAGUUCUUAUACCCUAACGGGAGCCAAAAUAUGCAAAGCAUCACCCUGAUUUUGCCCCUUCGGCACAGUGAGUAUAAAUCUGCAACCUGAAUUCAAGGAGAGUGGAGAAAACUAAAUGCAUGACCUGCACUUUCUUUUUGGUGUCUUAGAUCUAAACAUGACCUGGCCCAUGUGGCACAGAGGAAGCGGAGCCUGGCUAGCAAGGGUCCACCAGCACUGUAUCGACGAUGCCAUCUCAGAGAAAGGCCAGGAAAUCAUCGGAGCCCUGACCAGAGGAUGGAGGGGGACACCUGCUCUUCCGUAGGGGUUCAGGUCAGCCAAAGCACAAGCACCUGCAGGCUGCAAGCCGCCAAGGCCAUCACGCGCGCCACAUCCUGCAGCCACCCGCUUUAUCAUUAACUACUGUCUGGCCAACAAGGGCAGGGUUCGGUUCAAGAACACCGGGAACUUUAAGGCAGGAGGCAGAUCCAGAACCAUGGUGGGCUCACAGCCACUCACUACAACUAUAAAUAUCCUCCUGGCUGCCGGCCUGACAGCAACCACAAUUCCUGCUCCCUUGUUGGUAAUAGCACUGCAGGCC